rnacentral:lncRNA from 1 species
AUUGAAAACUUUCAACAAUAAAAAUAAAAUUUGAAUUUAAAAAUUUUGAAUUAAUGUUUUGUAAAUUGGGUAUGGACCUCCCUAAAAAAGAACCUCUCACAAUGUAAUGUUCUGAAUGGGCCACUAGAUAUUUCAUUCCAUAUAUAGUGGUAAUUCACUACAAAUACAUAAAAUAUGUGCAAAAUAAACUAUUGGGCACUUCUGAAGUUAAGAAUUGUGCACCAUAAAAAAACAGCAUAUAUAAAAUCAUGAACAAAACUUUGGAGCAGAAAUUUUGGGUGUUAAUAUCACU